UCAUAGGCCUUAAUAUUCUAAAGGUACCAGGUCUUGUCUGAUCUGAGAAGCUAAGGAAGAUCAGCCCUAGUUAGUAUUUGGAUGGGAGAUCAUCAAGGAACCCCAGAUGUCCUGGGCU
rnacentral:rRNA from 11 species